rnacentral:lncRNA from 1 species
UAGGCACUGCCUACAGGGCACAUUGGUACAUAUCUCUGCACUGAUCACCCAGGUGAUGGACCCUUGUCUUAGAUCUGCCUACAUGGACAUUGUGACACAUCUCUGAACUGAUCAACCAAGUGAUGAAACUCUUGUCUAGGCUCUGCCUACAGGGGCUUUGUGACACAUCUCUGCACUGAUCACCCUGGGGAGGGAACUCUUGUCUACGCUCUGCCUACAGGGGCUUUGUGACACAUCUCUGCACUGAUCACCCUGGGGAGGGAACUCUUGUCUACGCUCUGCCUACAGGAGGCUUUAUGACUUAUCCCUGCACUGAU